UCCUUCAGUGUUGAAACACUCUGUUGAACCAGAUUACAGAAAGUUCACUGGAGUUUUGUUUCAACAUUGCAAGAA
rnacentral:pre_miRNA from 1 species